UGAUGUGUCAGUUAGGCAAUGGAAAUAGACGACGAUUAACAGACAAGAAGAAAGCCACCUUACCAGGCCUCCACAUCAUCUCUAGAACACUAGUACUGAAUCCCAACUUCCUGCUGGAAAGAAUGGUGACAUUCACAGCCAUUCAAUUUGACUGAACUUAAGAGGUCUUUUGUGGUUCAACUGCAAGACCAGGAAAAGAAAGCAAUGUGAGGAGAGCCAUAGCCUCCAACAAUGGCAUGGGGUAAGACAGUCAUCUUUGAAAUGCCACCAAUCUACACGAAUGAUCAUAGAAACAGAAUGAAAACAUACCAUCAUUAGCAAAUUCUGUAUUAAAGAAAUCCACAGAGAAACAUCUGCUUUAUGCCAUCGGAGAUGCCAGAGAGAUCUGCAGAGCACAAUUGAGAGAUGGUGACUGUUUAUUGAGACAGAGAAUACCUGGGCUUUCUCUACCACUCUCGAUGGUUUUCUUUUUCUAUAUUCAGAGACAAACAAGUCUCCCAAAUGACAUUCUGGGAGACAUAAAUGUGCUAUCUCACAAAGCACCAACUGUGUUUGUAGCUGGGGCCAACCUGAAAUCCCUGCACUGGGAUUUCAUUGCUGAACAUUUCUGUGUCCUCUGGAGGUUUGUUUGAGGACAAAGAAUAUAUUUAUUGACCUUUUACCUUUUCAGUGACUUAAUGAAUAACUAAGGCAAUGAUGAGACUCUAAGUCUGAGAGUGUUGGAAGAGACAUGGGAUUUACCCUUUGCUCGCCUGUUGGUGUAUCUGCUCUGAAAAGCAGCAAAUUGCAAGUAGUUAUUGCCUCAUGUGACCUCCAGAUGUUAGCCAUACAAUCAGCAGAACCAGCCUCCGACAAGCACAGCAAAAUGAGUGUUAGCAUAUAUGAUUAUUUCA